CCUGAAUCCUCCGAUUUUUGGAACCCAAAUACGGUUCAUGAAGUAGUAUACCCCAUUCUCUUUGACUUCCAGGUUCUUCUCCAUUCCGCGUAAUGCCUCGCUAGUUCUAUUUUCCGCUUUCAUAGCCUCUGACUGGACUGAUGCAAUUUGAGUGGCCAGAUGAGAUUGAAUGGUUAUCGAGUGUGUUUUCGUACGGCGAUUAGAGUACUCCUUCCGACUUAAUGCAUCAGCUACCACGUUGGCCUUGCCUGGAUGGUACUUGAUCUCGCAUUCAUAGUCGUUUAGCAAUUCCACCCAUCUUCGUUGUCUCAUGUUCAGCUCCUUCUGAUUCAAGAUGUGCUGGAGGCUCUUGUGGUCCGUGAAGAUGGUGCACUUUGUACCGUACAGGUAGUGCCUCCAAAUUUUCAGAGCGAAGACCACGGCUCCCAGUUCUAGGUCAUGGGUCGUGUAAUUUACUUCGUGCGUCUUUAGUUGGCGGGACGCAUAUGCUAUCACUCUUCCACGUUGCAUGAGAACGCAACCUAAGCCUUGAUUUGACGCGUCACAGUAAACUACAAAAUCUUCCGUUCCUUCAGGUAGAGAUAGUACAGGAGCGCUACAGAGAGCUUGCUUCAAGGUUCGAAACGCAAUCUCUUGUCGGUCUGUCCACUUGAAUGGCACGCCCUUUUGCGUAAGCAAGGUAAGCGGCUUGGCGAUCUUAGAGAAGUUUUGGAUGAAUCUCCUAUAGUAGCCUGCUAGGCCUAAGAACUGACGAAUUUCUGUGGGCGUAGUCGGAGUUGCCCAUCCUUCCACAGCUUUGACCUUAGAGGGAUCCACAUGAAUUCCAUCUUGGCUAACUACGUGACCUAGAAAAUUCACGCUCCGUAGCCAAAACUCACACUUAGAGAGUUUGGCGUAAAGCUUUUCCGAUCGCAGCGUCUCUAGGACUUGUCGGAGAUGUUGGCCAUGCUCCUCUUUGCUUCGAGAAUAGACGAGGAUGUCAUCGAUAAACACAAUGACGAAGUUGUCCAGGAACGGUCGACAGAUUCGAUUCAUUAGGUCCAUGAAUGCAGCAGGUGCAUUUGUUAGACCGAAGGGCAUUACGACGAAUUCAUAAUGUCCGUAGCGGGUUCGAAAAGCGGUUUUAGGAAUAUCUUCUUCUCGGACUUUGAGUUGGUGGUAUCCGGAUCGUAAAUCUAUUUUAGAAAAAUAACUAGCUCCUUGGAGCUGGUCGAAUAGAUCAUCGAUUCGCGGAAGUGGGUAGCGGUUUUUUACAGUGAGUUUAUUUAACUCUCUGUAAUCGAUGCACAUUCUGAAAGAUCCGUCCUUCUUUUUGACAAAGAGCACCGGAGCUCCCCAUGGCGAGUAGCUAGGUCGGAUAAAUCCCUUGUCCAGAAGCUCACUGAGUUGGCUGGACAAUUCCUGCAUUUCAGCAGGUGCCAACCGAUAUGGUGAUUUAGCGAGGGGAGUUNCAGCAGGAGCCAAUCGAUAUGGUGAUUUAGCGAGAGGAGUUGCUCCUGGAACGAGGUCGAUCCGGAACAUCAAAUGACAGAAGCCAGGGCAGGAGUUAGGUCGAUGCAGGCUUUCAUGCCUUCGUUCUAUGGCCCACGAAACAUCACCCACCGCGAGUAGUGUGUACACUACUGAUGAAUCGAUAAAGACUCA
rnacentral:lncRNA from 1 species